UUGAUCCUGGCUCAGAAUCAACGCUGGCGGCGUGCCUCAGACAUGCAAGUCGAACGCGAAAGUUCCCUUCGGGGGGCGAGUAGAGUGGCGCACGGGUGAUUAACACGUAGGUAAUCUACCUUCGGGUGGGGAAUAACAACCGGAAACGGUUGCUAAUACCGCAUAAUGCAGCGGCACCUAAUGGUGACAGUUGUUAAGGUGGGGGAUCGAAAGACCUCGCGCCUGAAGAGGAGCCUGCGGCGGAUUAGCUAGUUGGCAGGGUAACGGCCUACCAAGGCGACGAUCCGUAGCCGGCCUGAUAGGGCGGUCGGCCACACUGACGCUGACAUACGGGUCAGACUCCUACGGGUGGCAGCAGUCGGGAAUUUUGGGCAAUGGGCGAAAGCCUGACCCAGCAACUCCGCGUGAAGGAUGAAAUCCCUCGGGAUGUAAACUUCGUAAGAACGGGAUGAAUAAGCCUGUGCAAAUAACACAGGUGAUGACGGUACCGUUUGUAAGCUCCGGCUAACUCCGUGCCAGCAGCCGCGGUAAUAAGGU
rnacentral:rRNA from 1 species